rnacentral:rRNA from 1 species
UACGUAGGGAGCGAGCGUUGUCCGGAUUCAUUGGGCGUAAAGAGCUCGUAGGCGGCUUGGUAAGUCGGAUGUGAAACCUCCAGGCUCAACCUGGAGUCGCCAUCCGAUACUGCCAUGGCUAGAGUCUGGUAGGGGCCCACGGAAUUCCUGGUGUAGCGGUGAAAUGCGCAGAUAUCGGGAGGAACACCGGUGGCGAAGGCGGUUCUCUGGGCCUUACCUGACGCUGAGGAGCGAAAGCGUGGGGAGCGAACAGG